rnacentral:rRNA from 1 species
CCUACGGGAGGCAGCAGUGAGGAAUAUUGGUCAAUGGGCUUACGCCUGAACCAGCCAAGCCGCGUGAGGGAAGACUGCCCUAUGGGUUGUAAACCUCUUUUGUCAGGGAGCAACGCCGGCUACGUGUAGCCGGACUGAGAGUACCUGAAGAAAAAGCAUCGGCUAACUCCGAUCCAGCAGCCGCGGUAAUACGGAGGAUGCGAGCGUUAUCCGGAUUGAUUGGGUUUAAAGGGUGCGUAGGCGGAAUGCCAAGUCAGCGGUAAAAUCGCGGGGCUCAAUCUCGCUCCGCCGUUGAAACUGGCGUUCUAGAGUGGGCGUGCAGUAUGCGGAAUGCGUGGUGUAGCGGUGAAAUGCAUAGAUAUCACGCAGAACUCCGAUUGCGAAGGCAGCAUACCGGCGCCCAACUGACGCUGAAGCACGAAAGCGUGGGUAUCGAACAGGAUUAGAUACCCCUGUAGUC